UACGUAGGGUGCAAGCGUUUAAUCGGAAUUACUGGGCGUAAAGCGUGCGCAGGCGGCUUUGCAAGACAGAUGUGAAAUCCCCGGGCUUAACCUGGGAACUGCAUUUGUGACUGCAUGGCUGGAGUGCGGCAGAGGGGGGAUGGAAUUCCGCGUGUAGCAGUGAAAUGCGUAGAUAUCUGGAGGAACACCGGUGGCGAAGGCGGCAUCCUGGACCGACACUGACACUGAGGAGCGAAAGCCAGGGGAGCAAACGGG
rnacentral:rRNA from 1 species